AUGCACAGUCGCAUCUGAGCUUGGGACUCGAGCAGUGCUGGACCUGGAUGGGAGACCACCUGGGAAUCAUGGGUGCUGUAGAUC
rnacentral:rRNA from 1 species